GUGUGAGAGCGUUACGCCUCUUCCGCAGCCGUCCAUAUGUGAUCGGACAGUGGAUCUCGGAGUGGUAAAUUGUGACCGUUGGAUGAGUCUAUGUCUGAGACGCGGAUGCUUCGGUUUAGCGGUUUAAGGGAGACGGGGAGGAAAAGGUCGAGGAGGAGGCGAAGAUGUUCCGGAGGGGGAGGUUCUUGUCGUUCCCGAUGGUGAUCGGAGCCGUUGUGAUCGGAGUGGUCUCUGGUAAGGCAAUUUUCGGGCCGCCUCUUGAUGAGUACUGGACAAAGAAACUGCAGGAAGAGGCAGCAAAGAAGGGUGAUGCUGGGUCCAGCUAGUUGCCAGCGAAACAUGGCUAAGUGAUGAUUUGUUAUUCUCUUUCGUACCUUAAGUUUUUCGUCACCAAACUAAUACCAGUUGUAUGAAGGUUGUAGUUUCUUUCUUUCUUUUUUUUUUAAUCGAAAGUUAAGUGAGUUUUUACCAAAUUCUCUAGAAUAAUGAUGAAGCUUACAAUUUUAUUGGCGGUUA